GCAAGUCGAACGAACCCUUCGGGGUGAGUGGCGCACGGGUGCGUAACACGUGGGAAUAUACACACAGGUAAGGAAUAACACAGAGAAAUUUUUUCUAAUACCUUAUAAUGACUCCGGUCCAAAGAUUCAUCGCCUGUGGAUUAGCCCGCGCUAGAUUAGGUAGUUGGUAGGGUAAGAGCCUACCAAGCCUACGAUCUAUAGCUGGUCUUAGAGGAUGGAC
rnacentral:rRNA from 1 species